CCCUCGCUGGCAGAGGAGGAUUAACUAUCAACUUUUAUUGGCAUUUUGCAGUCUCAGGUCCUCGCCCUGCGCUGCGCUCGGGCCCGGAGCUGCCCUUUGAUACGUGCCAGGCCGAGCAGAUGACAGCUCCGCGUCAGGUGGAGGGGAGAGGAAGGGCGCAGCCAGCUAAAUGGGCGUGCAGGGCUUCUCCCGAGCAAGGGGAUCGCCCGUUUUCCUCCCUUAAGAAGUAACGUUGUGGUGGUGCCCUGCAGAUCAACACUCCUAUCUAGCUACUGCUCUGGGUUACACUCCAGUAAACCUGAUGCCAGUUAGGGCCGCAGCCCACAGCUCUCAGCCGCUGUCUCUGGGAGGCUGCGUUGCCAGCAGCCGUCGGCGUGCGUCGUCCUGCACCUGCCAGUCGGGUUAGCAGCAGAGCCGCCAUCACGUUUGGCAAAAAAACACAGACUGCUUUUCAGACUGAAGCCGCAAUGAAGACUGAAGUCUAGCGUGCAACAAAGUGCACAGUUCAACAGAUCAUCUAUUGCAGUGAUUAUAUAGAUUGCUUUUCUCUUUUAUUUUUUAAGUAUAUACAUGUAUAUGUGUGUGUGUUCGUGUAAAU